ACUUAAAUAAUUUAAAUAAAAUAUUGAUUUGUGGUAUCAAAAAUAUGAAUAAUUCAUUUUAAGUU
rnacentral:tRNA from 1 species